GUUGACCUCGGAUCAGGUAGGAAUACCCGCUGAACUUAAGCAUU
rnacentral:rRNA from 1 species